rnacentral:rRNA from 1 species
UACGGGGGGGAGCAAGCGUUGUUCGGAUUUACUGGGCGUAAAGGGCGCGUAGGCGGUCAGCACAAGUCAGUUGUGAAAUCUCCGGGCUUAACUCGGAAAGGUCAACUGAUACUGUGCGACUAGAGUGCAGAAGGGGCAACUGGAAUUCUCGGUGUAGCGGUGAAAUGCGUAGAUAUCGUGAGGAAGACCAGUGGCGAAGGCGGCCCCCUGGGCCGUUCCUGACGCUGAGACGCGAAGGCGCGGGGAGCGAACG